rnacentral:rRNA from 1 species
UACGGGGGGGGUAAGCGUUGUUCGGAAUUACUGGGCGUAAAGGACUCGUAGGCGGCCAACUAAGUCAUACGUGAAAUCCCUCAGCUUAACUGGGGAACUGCGUGUGAUACUGGAUGGCUUGGAUUUGGGAGAGGGAUGCGGAAUUCCAGGUGUAGCGGUGAAAUGCGUAGAUAUCUGGAGGAACACCGGUGGCGAAGGCGGCAUCCUGGACCAAUAUUGACGCUGAGGAGCGAAAGCCAGGGGAGCAAACGGG